GUCAUCCUGAUGAUGUAAAGACAAUAUUAAACAUUCCGACAGAACAUGUUCGAAAAGGGUUUAUAUACACAUUUAUUUAUCCUUGGUUGGGCACUGGCGUAUUCACUAGUGAAGCAACAAAAUGGCGUAAAAGACGAAAGAUGCUAACACCAGCAUUUCAUUUUGAUAUCUUAAAACAGUUUGUUAAUGUUCUAAUCGAGGAGGGUAAUGACUUGACACAACGUUUGAAUGACAACGAAGGAUUGAUUGUUAAUGAUUUAAUUUUUUUAUUAGUCAUCAUAUGUUGAAUGCAAUAUGCGGUACGUUCGAAAUUUACAAAAACUUUUUUCUCUUUA